UGCGUAGGCGGCUAAGCAAGUCAGAUGUGAAAUACACGGGCUCAACCCGUGAGCUGCAUUUGAAACUGUUUAGCUUGAGUGAAGUAGAGGCAGGCGGAAUUCCCGGUGUAGCGGUGAAAUGCGUAGAGAUCGGGAGGAACACCAGUGGCGAAGGCGGCCUGCUGGGCUUUAACUGACGCUGAGGCACGAAAGCGUGGGUAGCAAACA
rnacentral:rRNA from 1 species